rnacentral:rRNA from 1 species
AUUAUUUUAAGAUUAUUUUUUAUUGUUGAAAAAAUUAAAAAUAAAUUGUUUUUAACAAAAAUUAAAAUUUAUAAUAUUUCAUUUUUUGGUUUUUUGUUUUAAAUUAAAAUAAUAAAUAUGGGGGAAAAAAAAAUUUUGUUAUAAAUUAUAUUAGUUUAUUUUAAUUAAAAAUAUUUUUUAUUAAAUUUCUUUUUUUUAUUUUUUUAUAAAAAAUAUUAAUUUAAUUAUUAUUAUUGAGUUUAAUUUAGUUAUUUUUAAAAAAAUUUUGUAUAAAAUAAAUUUGAUAAUAAAUGUUUUUUAAAUUCUUUGGGGGUUUAGUUUAUGAUUUUUUGUUUCUGCUCAUUGUUAAAUAAAAGCACUUUUAGCGUGAUUAGUCAAAGGUA